UACGGAAGGCAGCAGUAGGGAAUCUUCCGCAAUGGACGAAAGUCUGACGGAGCAACGCCGCGUGAACGAUGAAGGCUUUCGGGUCGUAAAGUUCUGUUGUUAGGGAAGAACAAGUACCGGAGUAACUGCCGGUACCUUGACGGUACCUAACCAGAAAGCCGCGGCUAACUACGUGCCAGCAGCCGCGGUAAUACGUAGGUGGCAAGCGUUGUCCGGAAUUAUUGGGCGUAAAGCGCGCGCAGGCGGUCCUUUAAGUCUGAUGUGAAAGCCCACGGCUCAACCGUGGAGGGUCAUUGGAAACUGGGGACUUGAGUGCAGAAGAGGAGAGUGGAAUUCCACGUGUAGCGGUGAAAUGCGUAGAGAUGUGGAGGAACACCAGUGGCGAAGGCGACUCUCUGGUCUGUAACUGACGCUGAGGCGCGAAAGCGUGGGGA
rnacentral:rRNA from 1 species